GGGUGCAAGAUUUUUUUUUAUUGUCCAAGAUUUUUUUGGGGGGGUGCAAGAUUUUUUUUUGUGGUGCAAGAUUUUUUUUAGGGCGCAAGAUUUUUUUUUGUGGUGCAAAAUUUUUUUUGUGGUGCAAGAUAUUUUUUUCGGGUGCAUGAUUUUUUCUUAUGGUAGAAGAAUUUUUUGGGGGGUGCAAGAUUUUUUUUUUGUGGUGCAAGAUUUUUUUUGUGGUGCAAGGUUUUUUGGGGGGUGCAAGAUUUUUUUUUUUGCCCCCAGAUUUUUGUUCGGGUGCAAGAUUUUUUUUAUGGUGCAAACUUUUUUGGGGGAGUGCAAGAUUUAUUUUUUGCGGUGCAAGAUAUUUUUUCGGGUGCAAGAUUUUUUUUAUGGUGCAAGAUUUUUUUGGGGGGAUGCAAGAUUUUUUUGGGGGGGUGGAAGAUUUUUUUUGUGGUGCAAGAUUUUUUUUGUAGUGCAAGAUAUUUUUUCGGCCGCAAGAUUUUUUUAUGGUGCAAGAUUUUUUUGGGGGUGCAAGAUUUUUUUUGUG